rnacentral:rRNA from 1 species
UGGGGAAUUUUGGACAAUGGGGGAAACCCUGAUCCAGCCAUCCCGCGUGUGCGAUGAAGGCCUUCGGGUUGUAAAGCACUUUUGGCAGGAAAGAAACGUCAUGGGUUAAUACCCCGUGAAACUGACGGUACCUGCAGAAUAAGCACCGGCUAACUACGUGCCAGCAGCCGCGGUAAUACGUAGGGUGCAAGCGUUAAUCGGAAUUACUGGGCGUAAAGCGUGCGCAGGCGGUUCGGAAAGAAAGAUGUGAAAUCCCAGGGCUCAACUUUGGAACUGCAUUUUUAACUACCGGGCUAGAGUGUGUCAGAGGGAGGUGGAAUUCCGCGUGUAGCAGUGAAAUGCGUAGAUAUGCGGAGGAACACCGAUGGCGAAGGCAGCCUCCUGGGAUAACACUGACACUCAUGCACGAAAGCGUGGGGAGCAAACAGG